GGGGGGGGGGGGGGGGGGGGGUGGGGGGGGCAGGGGGGGGGGGGGGGGGGGGGGGGGAGCCGGCGGGGGGAAGGUGGGGGGGGUGAGCGGGGGACGGGGGAGUAACACGGGGGUGACGGGCCUUUGACGCAGGGAGAGCCUCAGGAAACCGGGAGUGAGAACUGAGGAAGCUAUCAAAGCACCUGAUUAAGAAAGUUGAAACUCGGGUGGUAAAAGAUGGACUCGCGUCCCAUUAGCUAGUUGGUGAAGGUAACGGCACACCAAGGCCACGAUGGGUGGCCGACCUGAGAGGGUGCACGGCCACAUUGGAACUGAGACACGGUCCACACUCCUACGGGAGGCAGCAGUGGGGAGUAUUGCACACGGGGGGAAACCGUAAUGAAGCGACGCCGCGUGAGCGAAGAAGGCCUUCGGGUCGUAAAGCUCUUUUAUAUGGGAAGUUAAUGACGGUACCAUAAGAAAAAGCCCCGGCUAACUACGUG
rnacentral:rRNA from 1 species